UACGGGAGGCAGCAGUGGGGAAUAUUGCACAAUGGGCGCAAGCCUGAUGCAGCCAUGCCGCGUGUAUGAAGAAGGCCUUCGGGUUGUAAAGUACUUUCAGUCGUGAGGAAGGUGUUAAGGUUAAUAACCUUAGCAAUUGACGUUAGCGACAGAAGAAGCACCGGCUAACUCCGUGCCAGCAGCCGCGGUAAUACGGAGGGUGCGAGCGUUAAUCGGAAUUACUGGGCGUAAAGGGCACGCAGGCGGUUAAUUAAGUUGGAUGUGAAAUCCCCGGGCUUAACCUGGGAAUGGCAUUCAAGCUGGUUAGCUAGAGUCUUGUAGAGGGGGUAGAAUUCCAUGUGUAGCGGUGAAAUGCGUAGAGAUGUGGAGGAAUACCGGUGGCGAAGGCGGCCCCUGGACAAAGACUGACGCUCAUGUGCGAAAGCGUGGGGAGCAAACAGGGAUUUAGAUACC
rnacentral:rRNA from 1 species